rnacentral:rRNA from 1 species
GAUGAACGCUGGCGGCGUGCUUAACACAUGCAAGUCGAACGGUGAAGGCGGAGCUUGCUCUGCUGGAUCAGUGGCGAACGGGUGAGUAACACGUGAGCAAUCUGCCCCUGACUCUGGGAUAAGCGCUGGAAACGGCGUCUAAUACUGGAUACGAGCUGCGAAGGCAUCUUCAGCAGCUGGAAAGAAUUUCGGUCAGGGAUGAGCUCGCGGCCUAUCAGCUUGUUGGUGAGGUAAUGGCUCACCAAGGCGUCGACGGGUAGCCGGCCUGAGAGGGUGACCGGCCACACUGGGACUGAGAAACGGCCCAGACUCCAACGGGAGGCAGCAGUGGGGAAUAUUACACAAUGGGCGAAAGCCUGAUGCAGCAACGCCGCGUGAGGGAAGACGGCCUUCGGGUUGUAAACCUCUUUUAGCAGGGAAGAAGCGAAAGUGACGGUACCUGCAGAAAAAGCGCCGGCUAACUACGUG